UCGGGAAUAUUGCGCAAUGGAGGAAACUCUGACGCAGUGACGCCGCGUGCAGGAAGAAGGUUUUCGGAUUGUAAACUGCUUUAGACAGGGAAGAAAGAAAUGACAGUACCUGUAGAAUAAGCUCCGGCUAACUACGUGCCAGCAGCCGCGGUAAUACGUAGGGAGCGAGCGUUAUCCGGAUUUAUUGGGUGUAAAGGGUGCGUAGACGGAUGAACAAGUUAGUUGUGAAAUCCCUCGGCUUAACUGAGGAACUGCAACUAAAACUAUUGAUCUUGAGUGCUGGAGGGGAAAGCGGAAUUCCUAGUGUAGCGGUGAAAUGCGUAGAUAUUAGGAAGAACACCGGUGGCGAAGGCGGCUUUCUGGACAGUAACUGACGUUGAGGCACGAAAGUGUGGGGAGCAAACAGGAUUAGAUACC
rnacentral:rRNA from 1 species